UAUAAGACCUUGAUACAGAAGUUGCUAUAGACAGGUAAAGGAUGAUGAUUGAUUGAUUAUUAUUAUUGGCUUAUAUUUGAAAAGCAAUUGGUGAGUUUGGGUUCCUCAGUUUUGGGGGCCAUGUCAGCACACCCAU